rnacentral:rRNA from 1 species
UACGUAGGGUGCGAGCGUUGUCCGGAAUUAUUGGGCGUAAAGGGCUCGUAGGCGGUUUGUCGCGUCGGGAGUGAAAUCCACUGGCUUAACUGGUGGCUUGCUUUCGAUACGGGCAGACUGGAGGUAUGCAGGGGAGAACGGAAUUCCUGGUGUAGCGGUGAAAUGCGCAGAUAUCAGGAGGAACACCGGUGGCGAAGGCGGUUCUCUGGGCAUGCCCUGACGCUGAGGAGCGAAAGCAUGGGGAGCGAACAGG